GAUGAACGCUGGCGGCGUGCCUAAUACAUGCAAGUCGAGCGAACGGACGAGAAGCUUGCUUUUCUGAUGUUAGCGGCGGACGGGUGAGUAACACGUGGAUAACCUACCUAUAAGACUGGGAUAACUUCGGGAAACCGGAGCUAAUACCGGAUAAUAUUUUGAACCGCAUGGUUCAAAAGUGAAAGACGGUCUUGCUGUCACUUAUAGAUGGAUCCGCGCUGCAUUAGCUAGUUGGUAAGGUAACGGCUUACCAAGGCAACGAUGCAUAGCCGACCUGAGAGGGUGAUCGGCCACACUGGAACUGAGACACGGUCCAGACUCCUACGGGAGGCAGCAGUAGGGAAUCUUCCGCAAUGGGCGAAAGCCUGACGGAGCAACGCCGCGCGAGUGAUGAAGGUCUUCGGAUCGUAAAACUCUGUUAUUAGGGAAGAACAUAUGUGUAAGUAACUGUGCACAUCUUGACGGUACCUAAUCAGAAAGCCACGGCUAACUACGUG
rnacentral:rRNA from 1 species